GCAGCAUUGCAUGGUGAAACCACA
rnacentral:siRNA from 1 species